UUCUAUGGUCAAGCUACUAAGGGCGCACGGUGGAUGCCUUGGCAGAAUCAGGCGAUGAAGGACGUGGCAAGCUGCGAUAAGCUUCGGGGAGCCGCACACAGGCGUUAUAUCGAAGAUCUCCGAAUGGGGAAACCCACAUGAGCAAACCUCAUGUACGGCCCGCUGAAUACAUAGGCGGGCACGAGCGAACCCAGGGAAGUGAACCAUCUCAGUACCUGGAGGAAAAGAAAGAAACCUCGAUUCCGAAAGUAGUGGCGAGCGAAAUCGGAACAGCCCAAACCCGUGAUAUUUCGGUAUUGCGGGGGUUGUAGGGUCUGCAACAGUAGAGUUACCAAUCCUCUGGUUAGUCGAAUCCGUUGGAAAGCGGAUCCAUAGAGCGUGACAGACGCGUAGGCGAAAACCAUGAGGACUCGAAGCAGAUACCUGAGUAAGGCGGGGCACGUGAAACCCUGCUUGAAUCCGCGGAGACCAUUCCGCAAGGCUAAAUACUCGAUUCUGACCGAUAGUGAACCAGUACCGUGAGGGAAAGGUGAAAAGCACCCCUGCGAGGGGAGUGAAAGAGUACCUGAAACCGUGUGCCUACAAGCAGUGGGAGGACUAUGCCCGCAAGGGAAUGUCUGACCGCGUGCCUAUUGCAUAAUGAGCCGGCUAGUUAUUCUUGUCAGCAAGGUUAAGCGUAAGCGGAGCCGAAGCGAAAGCGAGUCUGAAUAGGGCGUUAAGUUGGCAGGAAUAGACGCGAAGCGGGAUGAUCUACCCUUGGCCAGGUUGAAGAUGGGGUAACACCCAUUGGAGGACCGAACCGGUGUUUGUUGAAAAAAGCUCGGAUGAGCUGAGGGUAGGGGUGAAAGGCUAAUCAAAUUCCGUGAUAGCUCGUUCUCUCCGAAAUAGCUUUAGGGCUAGCCUCGGAUGAUUUGCAGUGGUGGUAGAGAUCUGGAUGGACUAGGGGGCUUUCCGGCUUACUGAAUCCAACCAAACUUCGAAUGCCACUGACAACCAGUCCGGGAGUCAGACUGUGGGGGCUAAGCUUCACAGUCGAGAGGGAAACAGCCCAGACCGCCUGCUAAGGUCCCCAAGUUACAGUUAAGUGGGAAAGGAAGUCGGAACGCUCAGACAGCCAGGAGGUUGGCUUAGAAGCAGCCAUCCUUUAAAGAAAGCGUAAUAGCUCACUGGUCAAGCGGUCCGGUGCCGACAAUACAACGGGGCUAAAACUGUACACCGAAGCAGCGGAUGCACACCUAUGGUGUGCGUGGUAGGAGAGCAUUCUCAACAGCGUUGAAGUCAGACCGAGAGGAUUGAUGGAGCGUUGCGAAGAGACCCUGCCGGCAUAAGUAGCGAUAAUGAAUGUGAGAACCAUUCACGCCGAAAGUCUAAGGUUUCCUGAGGAAGGUUAAUCCGCUCAGGGUCAGGCGGUCCCUAAGGCGAGGCCGAAAGGCGUAGCUGAUGGACAUCCGGUUAAUAUUCCGGACCUCCCAACUCUCGUUUGACGAUGGGGAGACGCAGAAGGAUAGGCAGGUCGUCAUAUGGCUAUGGCGGUCGAUACGCGUAAGCUGGUGCCGGGAGGCAAAUCCCCCCGGUGCUUAACAGUGAGGCGUAAAGCAAGCCCGUAUGGUGUAAGCUGCCGAGUUCACGCUGCCGAGAAAAUCCUCUAAGGAGAGUAGUUGGAACCGUACCCCAAACCGACACAGGUAGACGAGGAGAAUAUCCAAAGGCGCUCGAGUGAAAGCUUGUUAAGGAACUCGGCAAAUUAGACCCGUAACUUCGGGAGAAGGGUCGCCCACCUCUGGUGGGCCGCAGUGAAACGCGUACGGCGACUGUUUAACAAAAACACAGGUCUCUGCAAAGUCGAAAACGACGUAUAGGGGCUGACUCCUGCCCGGUGCUGGAAGGUUAAAAGGAGAGGUUAGCCGCAAGGCGAAGCUUUGAAUUGAAGCCCCAGUGAACGGCGGCCGUAACUAUAACGGUCCUAAGGUAGCGAAAUUCCUUGUCGGGUAAGUUCCGACCUGCACGAAUGGAGUAACGAUCGUACGACUGUCUUAACGAGUUGCUCGGCGAACUUGUAGUACCGGUGAAGAUGCCGGUUACCCGCAGCUAGACGGAAAGACCCCGUGCACCUUUACUACACCUUUACUAUGAAUUAUGACUCUUACUGCGCAGGAUAGGUGGGAGGCUUUGAUACCAGGCUCUUGGGCUUGGUGGAGCCACCGGUGAGAUACCACCCUGUGAGCGUUGUGAUUCUAACCUGCUCCCGUGAUCCGGGAGAGGGACAUAGUAAGGCGGGUAGUUUGACUGGGGCGGUCGCCUCCUAAAUUGUAACGGAGGCGCGCGAACGUACUCUCAGACUGUUUGGAAAUCAGUCGUCGAGUGCAAAGGCAUAAGAGUGGUUAACUGUGAGACCUACAAGUCGAGCAGAUGCGAAAGCAGGCCUUAGUGAUCCGGUGGUUCUGUAUGGAAGGGCCAUCGCUCAACGGAUAAAAGGUACGCCGGGGAUAACAGGCUGAUCGGAGCCAAGAGUUCAUAUCGACGCUCCGGUUUGGCACCUCGAUGUCGGCUCAUCGCAUCCUGGAGCUGUAGAAGGUUCCAAGGGUUAGGCUGUUCGCCUAUUAAAAGCGGUACGUGAGCUGGGUUGAGAACGUCGCGAGACAGUUCGGUCCCUAUCUGCUGUGGGCGUAGGAGAUUUGAGGAGGGCUGUCCUUAGUACGAGAGGACCGGGAUGGACGAACCUCUUGUGUUCCAGUUGUCAUGCCAAUGGCACGCUGGGUAGCGAAGUUCGGUUGUGAUAACCGCUGAAUGCAUAUAAGCGGGAAGCACGCUCCAAGAUGAGAUCUCCCUGAAGGGCCCCAGGAAGACCACCUGGUUGAUAGGCUGGAGGUGUAAGCACAGUAAUGUGUUCAGCUUACCAGUACUAAUCGCCCGUUCGGCUUGUCCAUAGAA
rnacentral:rRNA from 1 species